ensembl:lncRNA
ACAGGGAACCAGCCCAUAGAAGACAGAACAGUGGAUGGAAGAGCGCGAGAGAGAGUGAAGUGGACGGAGGCUAAGAUACAGGGGCUGGUCAACAGUGUCAGAACAUAUCAAAUCCAGGCAGACUCCUGCUCCUUGGCCUGCCAAUCUGAACGACAACCUCCCCACUACACACACACACACACACACACACACACACACACACACUGCCCGAGCAUCUUCAGUAAUGCCAACAGGGUCCCAGCCAGCUGCCAGCCCUCUCCCAGCCUGCCCCUGUUUGCCCAGCCCUGAGCCCUGAGCCCUAACCACAAACUGGCCCCGUGGCUCUAGGAACCCCCCAGUGCAGCUGUCCUCCACACAGCCAGGUGGGCGCCUGACCCACCGCUGGACAGGCAGCGCUACUAACAGGCAUGGCUCCAAUUCGGGACUCGGCCAGCCCCUCUC